rnacentral:rRNA from 1 species
UAACUGAAGAGUUUGAUCAUGGCUCAGAUUGAACGCUGGCGGCAGGCUUAACACAUGCAAGUCGAGCGGGGGAAGGUAGCUUGCUACUGGACCUAGCGGCGGACGGGUGAGUAAUGCUUAGGAAUCUGCCUAUUAGUGGGGGACAACAUCUCGAAAGGGAUGCUAAUACCGCAUACGUCCUACGGGAGAAAGCAGGGGAUCUUCGGACCUUGCGCUAAUAGAUGAGCCUAAGUCGGAUUAGCUAGUUGGUGGGGUAAAGGCCUACCAAGGCGACGAUCUGUAGCGGGUCUGAGAGGAUGAUCCGCCACACUGGGACUGAGACACGGCCCAGACUCCUACGGGAGGCAGCAGUGGGGAAUAUUGGACAAUGGGGGGAACCCUGAUCCAGCCAUGCCGCGUGUGUGAAGAAGGCCUUAUGGUUGUAAAGCACUUUAAGCGAGGAGGAGGCUACUUUAGUUAAUACCUAGAGAUAGUGGACGUUACUCGCAGAAUAAGCACCGGCUAACUCUGUGCCAGCAGCCGCGGUAAUACAGAGGGUGCGAGCGUUAAUCGGAUUUACUGGGCGUAAAGCGUGCGUAGGCGGCUUAUUAAGUCGGAUGUGAAAUCCCCGAGCUUAACUUGGGAAUUGCAUUCGAUACUGGUGAGCUAGAGUAUGGGAGAGGAUGGUAGAAUUCCAGGUGUAGCGGUGAAAU